rnacentral:rRNA from 1 species
CGCUGGAAUAGCAUGCAGUCGAACGCGAAAGUCGGGCUUGCUCCCUGAGUAGAGUGGCGCUCGGGUGAGUAUCGCGUGGGGAAUCUGCCUCGGAAGGGGGGAUAACAGUCCUAACGGACUGCUAAUACCGCAUAACAUGGCCUGGCCGCAUGACCGGGCCAUCAAAGGUGGGGAUCGCAAGACCUGCCGAUUCGAGAGGACCCCGCGUCCCAUUAGCUAGUUGGUAGGGUAACGGCCUACCAAGGCGACGAUGGGUAGCUGGUCUGAGAGGACGACCAGCCACACUGGGACUGAGACACGGCCCAGACUCCUACGGGAGGCAGCAGUGGG